rnacentral:rRNA from 1 species
AGUGAACGCUGGCGGUAGGCCUAACACAUGCAAGUCGAACGGCAGCACAGUAAGAUCUUGCUCUUACGGGUGGCGAGUGGCGGACGGGUGAGGAAUACAUCGGAAUCUACUUUUUCGUGGGGGAUAACGUAGGGAAACUUACGCUAAUACCGCAUACGACCUACGGGUGAAAGCAGUGGAUCUUCGGACCUUGCGCGAUUGAAUGAGCCGAUGUCGGAUUAGCUAGUUGGCGGGGUAAAGGCCCACCAAGGCGACGAUCCGUAGCUGGUCUGAGAGGAUGAUCGGCCACACUGGAACUGAGACACGGUCCAGACUCCUACGGGAGGCAGCAGUGGGGAAUAUUGGGCAAUGGGCGCAAGCCUGAUCCAGCCAUACCGCGUGGGUGAAGAAGGCCUUCGGGUUGUAAAGCCCUUUUGUUGGGAAAGAAAAGCAGCAGGUGAAUACCCCGCUGUUCUGACGGUACCCAAAGAAUAAGCACCGGCUAACUUCGUG